UACGGAGGGUGCAAGCGUUGUUCGGAAUCAUUGGGCGUAAAGCGCGUGUAGGCGGCUUGGCAAGUCAGUUGUGAAAGCCCGGGGCCCAACCCCGGAACUGCAUCUGAAACUGCCUGGCUAGAGUCCCGGAGAGGAAGGCAGAAUUCCCGGUGUAGGGGUGAAAUCCGUAGAUAUCGGGAGGAACACCGGUGGCGAAGGCGGGUCUCUGGGCAACAACUGACGCUGAGGAGCGAAAGCGUGGGGAGCGAACAGG
rnacentral:rRNA from 1 species